rnacentral:rRNA from 1 species
GCGAACGCUGGCGGCAGGCUUCACACAUGCAAGUCGCACGGGCAUAGCAAUAUGUCAGUGGCAGACGGGUGAGUAACGCGUGGGAACGUACCUUUUGGUUCGGAACAACACAGGGAAACUUGUGCUAAUACCGGAUAAGCCCUUACGGGGAAAGAUUUAUCGCCGAAAGAUCGGCCCGCGUCUGAUUAGCUAGUUGGUAGGGUAAUGGCCUACCAAGGCGACGAUCAGUAGCUGGUCUGAGAGGAUGAUCAGCCACAUUGGGACUGAGACACGGCCCAAACUCCUACGGGAGGCAGCAGUGGGGAAUAUUGGGCAAUGGGCGAAAGCCUGAUCCAGCCAUGCCGCGUGAGUGAUGAAGGCCCUAGGGUUGUAAAGCUCUUUUGUGCGGGAAGAUAAUGACGGUACCGCAAGAAUAAGCCCCGGCUAACUUCGUG